rnacentral:rRNA from 1 species
UGACGCAUUUCGGUGUGUAAACUCCUUUUAUAUGCAAAGAUAAUGACGGUAGCAUAUGAAUAAGCGCCGGCUAACUCCGUGCCAGCAGCCGCGGUAAUACGGGGGGCGCAAGCGUUAUUCGGAAUCACUGGGCGUAAAGGGUGCGUAGGCGUUUUGAUAAGUCAGCCUGUGAAAGCCUGUGGCUUAACCAUGGAACUGCAGAUGAAACUGUCAAAAUAGAGUAUGGAAGAGGUAAGUGGAAUUUCUAGUGUAGGGGUAAAAUCCGUAGAUAUUAGAAGGAAUACCAAUGGCGAAGGCGACUUACUGGGACAUUACUGACGCUGAGGCACGAAAGCGUGGGAGCAAACAGGAUUAGAUACCCUGGUAGUCCACGCCCUAAACGAUGAACACUAGUUGUCGGAUGGCUCGAACAUUCGGUAAUGCACCAAACGGAUUAAGUGUUCCGCCUGGGGAGUACGGUCGCAAGAUUAAAACUCAAAGGAAUAGACGGGGACCCGCACAAGUGGUGGAGCAUGUGGUUUAAUUCGAAGAUACGCGAAGAACCUUACCUGGACUUGACAUCCCUAGAAUCCCGUAGAGAUAUGGGAGUGUCUGCUUGCAGAAAUUAGGUGACAGGUGCUGCACGGCUGUCGUCAGCUCGUGUCGUGAGAUGUUGGGUUAAGUCCCGCAGCGAGCGCAACCCUCGUCAUUAGUUGCCAGCAGUUAGGCUGGGCACUCUAAUGAGACUGCCUUCGUAAGGAGGAGGAAGGUGAGGACGACGUCAAGUCAUCAUGGCCCUUAUGUCCAGGGCGACACACGUGCUACAAUGGGAAGGACAGAGUGUUGCGAUACCGCGAGGUGGAGCUAAUCACAAAACCUUUUCUCAGUUCGGAUUGUACUCUGCAACUCGAGUGCAUGAAGCUGGAAUCACUAGUAAUCGUAGAUCAGCCAUGCUACGGUGAAUACGUUCCCGGGUCUUGUACUCACCGCCCGUCACACCAUGGGAAUUGGUUUCACCCGAAGAGGGGAUGCUAACUUUUAGAGGCUACCUUCCACGGUGGGGUCAGUA